rnacentral:lncRNA from 1 species
UCCGAAAGGUGUCAAAUGCCAGUGGGGAUAUGGGCAUGGAUAUGGUAGCAUCAGAGUACCCGUUUUCACAGAAUUCCCUGGAGUCAAGUGACUGCUUUAUCUUGGACAAUGGCCCCAAUGGCAUGAUCUUUGUCUGGAAAGGUAUUGGUUUCUUCUCAGCAGCUGGUCUCUAUGACUUAUUUUGACUGUAAAACCCAGAAGCUUUUAUCUUCCCUUUGAUUAGACACUUCUUUUGAAAACUGUUGUGCCUGGAAGUCACUUAGUUCUUCAGCAUUUGCAGUUUAAUCAUGAGUUUAUUUGGAAUAAAAAUGGGUAAGGACGCUAACAAAGAGGAGAGAAGUGCGGUGAUGAGUGCUGCCGAACAGUUUAUCACAAAGAUGGGCUACCCGAAACACUCAGGUCCAGAUCCUACCUGAGAAUGGGGAGACCCCUCUGUUCAAGCAGUUCUUCAAAAUCUGGCGUGACGCGGACCAUACAGUGGGGUUGGGAACCGCCUACGUGUCCAACAAAAUCGCCAAGAUCAAGAAGGUGCCCUUCGAUGCCUCUACUCUCCAUCACUCGGACGCCAUGGCGGCUCAGCAUGGGAUGGUGGACGAGGGGAAUGGAGACAAGCAGAUCUGGCGUAUUGAGGGAGCUGACAAGGUGCCUGUGGAGCCCUCCACUUUUGAGCGAUUCUAUGGGGGAGACAGCUACAUCAUCCUCUACAACUACCAGCAUGGAGGCUGUAAUGGACAGGUCAUCUACAUAUGGUAAAGACAAUGGAGAUUAUCCUUCUGGAAGCUUUAUGUGUUAUUACAUAGUCUUACAGCAAA